rnacentral:RNase_P_RNA from 1 species
GGCGGCCGGUCUGCCGCGUACGCCCCGGUGGCGUAGGAGGAAAGUCCGGGCAACGCAGGGCAGUUCGCUUCUUAAUGGGAAGUCGUCCGCGAGGGCGAGUCGAUGCAGAAGAAAACAACCGCCGGCCGUUCACGCGGCCGGUAAGGGUGAGAAGGUGGGGCAAGAGCCUACCAGCUGUGCGGUGACGCGCAGGCUGUGCAUCCCGAACGUUGAAAGUUCAUGUAAACCGGCGUCUGAGGGCGGCCCGCCCGAGCCGAGCACGCCGGAGGGUAGAACGAUAGAGUUUGUCGGCGACGGCAAACCCAGAUAAAUGGCAGACGCUGCACCGCGUGCAGUACAGAACCCGGCUUACAGGCUGCCUGUU